UAGAUGCAUACCCUGGAGCAUAAGGAGUGGGAGAGCAACACAGAGGAAAAAUAAAGAAAAAAAUAACUCUGUAAGGAGAAGUUAACAAUUUUAAGACUGUUUAACAUCUUUGCACUCAAGCUUUAAGUACAGAAGUAUGUGUGCCUGGGAUUCUGUUUUUCAGAAGGAGGGACAGGAUGAGGAAAGCUAAAAGCAAUGUGAAGAUAAAAGAAGAAAUGGAAGUGAUGCCACUCUGAGUGGGAACUAUAUGUCCGCAUUUAGAUGGAGCAAAUGGGUGAUGCAGUCCACAAA